rnacentral:tRNA from 1 species
AGCUUUGUAGUCAAUAUUUAUGAUAUUAGACUGCAAUUCUAAUGGUGAAAUUUUCCAAAGCUU